GACCGUGUGGCCAAGUGGCUAUGGCGUUGGUUUUACAUUACCAAGUAGAAACACCAAAGAUCGCAAGUUCGAACCUUGCCACGGUCA
rfam:Stachybotrys chartarum IBT 40288 unplaced genomic scaffold scaffold1068, whole genome shotgun sequence.